rnacentral:tRNA from 1 species
AAAAUGAAAAAAAAGACUUCUAAUCUUUAAAUGGUGGAUACACUUCAUUUUU